rnacentral:rRNA from 1 species
AUUGAACGCUGGCGGCAGGCCUAACACAUGCAAGUCGAACGAGUGGCGGACGGGUGAGUAAUGUCUGGGAAACUGCCCGAUGGAGGGGGAUAACUACUGGAAACGGUAGCUAAUACCGCAUACCAUCGGAUGUGCCCACAUGGGAUUAGGUAGUAGGUGGGGUAAUGGCUCACCUAGGCGACGAUCCGUAGCUGGUCUGAGAGGAUGACCAGCCCCACUUGAACUGAGACACGGUCCAGACUCCUACGGGAGGCAGCAGUGGGGAAUAUUGGACAAUGGGCGCAAGCCUGAUGCAGCCAUGCCGCGUGUAUGAAGAAGGCCUUCGGGUUGUAAAGUACUUUAAGCGAGGAGGCGUUACUCGCAGAAGAAGCACCGGCUAAGUCCGUGCCAGCAGCCGCGGUAAUAC